rnacentral:rRNA from 1 species
UACAGAGGUCUCAAGCGUUGUUCGGAUUCAUUGGGCGUAAAGGGUGCGUAGGCGGCUUUGCAAGUGACGGGUGAAAUCCCUCGGCUUAACCGAGGAACUGCCUGUCAAACUGCAUGGCUUGAGACCGGGAGAGGUGAGUGGAAUUCCCGAGUGUAGCGGUGAAAUGCGUAGAUAUUGGGGAGGAACACCAGUGGGCGAAGGCGGCUCACUGGACCGGUACUGACGCUGAGGCGCGAAAGCGUGGGGGACAGACAGGG